rnacentral:tRNA from 1 species
AGUGGUUUAGUGGAUAGAACUCUUGAUUUUGAGUCAGGAAGAGUUGGUUCAAAUCCCAUCU